rnacentral:lncRNA from 1 species
AUAUAGAUUUUUUAUUUCACUAACCCUUCAUUGAAUAUGCAUUCAUUUAAAUUGAUUUAGAAAAUAAAAAUUUGAAUAUUAAGUUAUAUUUGAAAUGCAACUUAGAUCAAACAUAUUUUUUAAAUUGCAUGCAUCUUGUAAUUCAUCUAUCGCUCUUUAACACGUAAAACUUGGUUUAUUUCCCUAGGUUCUUCAAAGUAACAAUUCAUUCUCUAUUAAUUCAUAUUGCAAAAUAUCAAUUUUUUUAAGAAAUUGAA